UGCUGUCCACACUGAACACCCGAUUAAAGGCAUUACAGCGUAUAGAAACGAAGGUGAAGACCCGUGAGGGAACUUACACACAACGAAUCUAUCUACACAAAGCCGAAGCCUUAUGCAGACACAGCUGGAAGAUUCGGCCUAGAAGUACCGCUGCCCAAAGCUUCAUGAAAUCAAUUCACUAAGAGCAAGCAGUCUCCAAACCAGAAC
rnacentral:rRNA from 1 species